rnacentral:misc_RNA from 1 species
AAGCGAGUCCCCCGGCGAAUCGGUUAGGCCCGAUGCCGGGGCGAUCGUAACCCGUGCCUACCUUACCUUCGUUGCUUUGGCGGGGCGCCCCCCCGGCCAGCGGCCCCCCGGCUGCUGCGUCCCCGCCAGAGGACCACAACCCGUGCCAUGUCAGUGUCGUCUGAGUACUAUACAAUAGUUAAAACUUUCAACAACGGAUCUCUUGGUUCU